GAACGCUGGCGGCGUGUCUAAGGCAUGCAAGUCGAACGAACUGCCUUUCUUCGGAAAGAACAGUUAGUGGCAGACGGGAGCGUAACACAUUGGUAACCUACCUCGAGCUCGUGAAUAACCAUUAGAAAUGAUGGCUAAUACACGAUAUGGAUGGGGGGACUUCGGUCAUUCCCAUUGAAAGUUCCGGCGGCUCGAGAGGGGCCUAUGUCCUAUCAGCUUGUUGGUGAGGUAAAAGCUCACCAAGGCUACGACGGGUACCGGGCGUGAGAGCGUGGCCCGGCUCACUGGGACUGAGACACUGCCCAGACACCUACGGGUGGCUGCAGUCAAGAAUCUUCCGCAAUGGACGAAAGUCUGACGGAGCGACGCCGCGUGCAGGAUGAAGGCCUUCGGGUCGUAAACUGCUUUUAUUAGGGACGAACAAAUGACGGUACCUAAUGAAUAAGAGGUUGCUAACUCUGUGCCAGCAGCAGCGGUAAUACAGAGACCUCAAGCGUUAUCCGGAUUUAUUGGGCGUAAAGGGUCCGCAGGCGGCCUUAUAAGUCAUAUGUCAAAUCUUCGGGCUCAACCCGAGGGCUGCGUGUGAAACUGUAAGGCUAGAGACUGGGAGAGGUACACGGAAUUGUCGGUGUAGGGGUAAAAUCCGUUAAUAUCGACAAGAACACCAAAGGCGAAGGCAGUGUACUGGAACAGUUCUGACGCUCAGGGACGAAAGCGUGGGUAGCGAAUGGGAUUAGAUACCCCAGUAGUCCACGCCCUAAACGAUGAAUGCUAGGUAUUGGGAGUAUCGACCCUCCCAGUGCCGUUGAACCAAGAUAACACGUUAAGCAUUCCGCCUGGGGAGUACGGCCGCAAGGCUAAAACUCAAAGGAAUAGACGGGGACCCGCACAAGCGGUGGAGCGUGCGGUUUAAUUCGAUGCUAAGCGAGGAACCUUACCUGGGCUUAACUUCUAGCUGCAAGCCUUUCGAAAGAAAGGAAUCCUUCGAGGGUGCUAGGAAUGGUGCUGCAUGGUUGUCGUCAGCUCGUGGCGUGAGCUGUUCCCUUAAGUGGGGUAACGAGCGCAACCCUCGUCCUGUGUUACACUUUCACAGGAGACUGCCCGGGCAACCGGGAGGAAGGUGAGGACGACGUCAAAUCAGCAUGGCCCUUACGUCCAGGGCGACACGCGCGCUACAAUGGUUGGUACAAUGGGUUGCCAAAUCGCAAGAUGGAGCUAAUCCCACAAAGCCAAUCUCAGUUCGGAUUGAAGGCUGCAACUCGUUUUCAUGAAGUUGGAAUCGCUAGUAACGGCAAAUCAGCCACGUUGCCGUGAAUACGUUCUCGGGUCUUGUACUCACCGCCCGUCACGUCAAGAGAGUUGGUAACACCCGA
rnacentral:rRNA from 1 species